AUAUAUAUAUAUAUAUAUGCGUGUGUGUGUUUUAUGUAUAACGUGUGCAACCUGUGGAAAGGCGUGCCUUUCAGUUGGAGGAUAGAAAAGGCAUGUCAAAAGGCUGCAUACUGUGGCACCUGUUCUUUCUGCUAGCCAGCACAGCUGCGCAUUAUGCAAUAGAAUGUGAAAAUCUUUGGCCGGGCUCAAGA